AGGCUAAAGAAAGGAGUUGUCAGUGUUGGUGGCUUGCUGCCCCUUUUCUCAGAUACUGCUGGUUUAAGGGUAAUUACUCAUCCUCUUAUUUCUCAACCCUUCUGGCUCCUUCAGCCUCCUACAUCCUUUGGGAAGAGCAAAAUAAAACUGAUCUCUUUCCCAAAACUCUUCCAUUUCUCCUAGGUCAUUUCUAAGUAAAGCUGGAGGGACCCAAGCCUCACAGUAAAGUCCCACCAUCAAAGAAUCCAGAAGCGAAGUUCCUGUUGUGGCGCAAUGAAAACAAAUCCAAUUGGUAGCCAUGAGGAGGCAGGUUCGAUCCCUAGCCUUGCUCAGUGGGUCAGGGAUCAGGCCUUGCUGUGAGCUGUGGUGAACUUUGCAGACCCAGCUCGGAUCCUGCAUUGCUGUGACUGUGGUAUAUAGGCUGGCAGCUGUAGCUCCAAUUUGACCCCUAGCCUGGGAACUUCCAUAUGUUGUAGGUAAGGCCCUAAAAAGGAGGAAAAAAUCCAGCAGCUAGCAUGCCCUGAUCCUGAUAGUUGUCGCAGUUCACCUGAAGUGUCUACCAGCUGUGUCACUGUGGCAAAGUCUUCGCACAAAAGCAAAGCAGGAGGGGAAGUGUGCCCUUUGCCUGCCAACUGGCUUUUUUUUCCCUAGGUCCAAGUUUUGCCUGAGGCUUUUUCGGGGAGCUCUGGAUCUAUUCACUCUCUGCAAUGAGGCUUAUCACAGCCUCCAUCCAUCCAAAUCAGGCAGACUGUUCCUUUUAUUUAUUUAUUUCCUUUUUUUAAAAAGGUCCCUUGAGUUCUUAUACAUAUUUUAAAUGUGUCUUAUCACAUCAGGUCACUGUUAUGCCUGUCUUGCCUUUAUAGGAAGGAGUAAAUUCUAAAGAAUUUGGGGGACUUAAAAUUCCACGGAGAUUUCCCUGCCUUGGUGUUUUACUCUCAUGCAGUAGAAACUCUGAACCAUUAUUCAAAACCCAGUAAAUGUAAUUGCUGUGCAGAAUUUACUGAUUAUCUAAAGCCGAGUCAUGAAGGUUUGAGCACACCCUGCCAGUUUACUCACCGCACUAUUAAAUAAUGAUCUAUUUUAUAGUAUUGUAAACUAGAACUACCCUGUGGUCAGACAUCAUAUCACAUUAACCUUUUACUCCUCGCCUAUCUCCUGGCAUUUAGUAUAUCCUCAAGAAGUGCUGAGUGAGUUCUGUAACCACACAGGUUUUCUCCUCUUUCAGAAUCCUUUAAAUGACAGCACACUAUUUCAAGAUCUAGCACCUUCCAGCACCUUCUAUGGCUGUGCAGAUAAAAUUAGCCCAAGGUCGAAUGUCUUUCUGGUAUUGGGUGAAGCUCCAGGUCCCUGUCACUUCUACCCUGGGUCCUGGUUUGGCCUUAUGGGCCCACCCAGACAAAGCAGGCUCCUCCUUAACCAUUUUUUAAAAUUUAACUUUAUGGGCGUAGAGUUGAUUUAUCAUGUUGUAUUUGUUGCCAGUGACAGCAAAGGGAAUCAGUCAUAUGUAUAAAUCUAUCCAUUCUUUUUUCCCAUCGAGGUCAUUAAGAACUAUUGGGUAGAUUUUCCUGUGCUCUACAGUAGGUUCUCAUUGCUCAUCUAUGUUACACAGUGUGUAUAUGCUAUUCCCACUCCCUAAUUCUUCCCUUCCCUUUCCCUGAAGCAUUGGAAGACAGCUGACUCUCCAGGGCUCCUGUCCAGGUUGAACACUCUGGCUGCAUUUUCCGAGGGCCUUGAUGUCUGGCUUCUAAACCUUAGCUCUCUUGGCUCCUCUCCCCAGGAUAAUCUCUAAUUACCAAUAUUCCUCUGAAGGAGAGCUGUCAUGCCACGUCCCAGACAUGGCAUCGAGUACCAUGAGAUUUCCUCUGGGCUGGACACUCUGUUUCUGCAAAUAAUCGUCACAGCAUUAUAUUCUUCAGUGUUCUGUCAAUUCUCUCUCAGGUCUUAUUGUUGAACUGUAGGACAUCAGAUUCCUAAGUAAUCCUGCUACAAUUAAUUUUAUAACCUUAAAAGCAAAGUCUCGUCAUUGUCAAUAUUCAAUGAUACCAUGUUUACGUGGAAAUUUAGAGUGCUGGGGUCUAGAAGACUGAAUGAAGUCUGAGUACAAUCAAGUAUUUUGUAGGUAACUGCUACCUUCUCUACUUUGAAAAGCCCAUAACUCAUUGGAUUGGAGACAGUCACAUUCCAGUACAUUUCCAGAUAGGUCCUGGCCCUCAUUCGCUACUCUGUGUGGGUACCAACAAGCAAUAACAACGACAACAAUAGCUGCAGCUCAGCUUUUGUGUACUGAGCGCCAGACCCUGUUCUAAGCACUUUAUAUGCUUGUCAGCUUGGAUAGGCUCGGUCUGCCUGAUGAUAAACAACCCCCAAAUAUAGUGGGUCUCAUUUAAAUACCAGUGGUCCCUGUUGUCACAAUAAGUAACCUUCUGUAUUCUUCCAGACCACCAGAAGGCUCCCUGUCAUAGUGCUCAACACACUUUAUUUAAAGGCUUACUUUGUUGUCAGCCUCUAGUCUUAAGACCAUAAAAAAGGUCAUGAGCCACAGAGACCAGCUCCCUCUGCUCACCAUUGCACCCCAGAGCUUAGAACACAGGAGAGGCUCACUGAUCUUUUUUUUUUUUUUUUUUACUUUCUAAGGGAACAACUGAAUAGCAUCUGUCAACGUUACAUCACCACAUUCUCUCCUACCAUCUGCCAGAUUCACUGUCUUUAGCUACACCCCACAGAAGGUAGCUUUUCAUUGUCUUGUCAUCAUCCAUGGGGCUGGAGUUGAAAAAAAGGCCCAUCUGAUUCCUACAGAGAAAGGAUUUCCCAACAGGGUUUAUACCCUACUAGUGGUACCUGUGAAGAUUUUAAGUUGCACAACUACUUUACUUGUUUUGUGUUCAUUUCUAUGGUGAGCUUCUAUUAAUGGCAAAUCAUACCUGGUUUUCCACUUUCAGUAGUAAUUUGCUUUCUUUUUGUUUCCUGUUAUAAAAAAUAUAUUUUAAAUUAAGCUUUGUUUGUAAUAGCCAACAACUGGAAACAAUCCAAAUGUCCAACAGGUGAGUAGAUAAGGAAAUUUUGGUAUAUCUAUAAAAUAGAAUCAAAUUAAUGGUAAUGUAACACAAGGCAGCAAAAAGGAACAAGCUAAUGAUCCAUGCAACAGCAGGAACUCAUGUCCAAAUCAUUACGCCUAGUCAAACAAGGAAGGCAAAAAAAAAAAAAAUUAAUAAGUAAGUACAUUUGUAUAAAAUCCUGGAAGAUGCACAGUAACAUGUACAUUGACGGAAAGCAAGUCAGUGGUUGCUUGGGUGUGGGCAUGAAAGGAGGCAUGGAUUUAAAAGGAGCAUAAGAGAACUGCAAGGAGUGAUGGGUAUGUUCUAUACAACAUUUGAUUGUGAUGAUCAUAUGUCAUUUGAUCACUUGAAGUUGUGUAUGUUCAAUACAUACAGGUUAUUGUAAAUAAAUGCAUAUUAUUAUAUUUCAGUAUUUCCUCAGAGUUGUUAGGGAAAAAAAGGCCAGAUCUAUAAGGCUGUGGGGUGUCUUGAGCACAAAGUUUAAAUUCUGAACACAAUGGGAAGCUACCAAUGGGUUCUAAACAUAGGAGGAGCAUGAUCAUAUUAAAUAUUUAGUGUGGGAGUUGCUCUUGUGGCUCAGUGGUAACAAACCUGACUGGUAUCCAUGAGGAUGUGGGUUCAAUCCCUGGCCUUGCUUGGUGGGUUAAGGAUCCAGCCUUGCCCUGAGCUGUGGUAUAAGAUGUGGCUCAGAUCCCAUUCAUUGCUGUGCUGUGAUGUAAGCCAGUGGUUACAGCUCUGAUUUGACCUCUAGCCUGGGAACUUCCAUAUGCCAUGGGUGCAGCCCUAAAAAGAUAAUCAAUCAAUCAAUAUUUAGUGUGACAGAAGCACUUAAAGCAUAUUUUUUUAAAAAAAGACCUUAGGUGGAAUAUCUUCACGAGUCUCAAAACCUCCCCCAAUAAUGCAGUAUAACAGAUUCAACUAAUAAUUGCUUAUACUAAUGGUUAGUACUUUGGAUUGGUCAGAGUGUUUUCUGUCCCACGUGGAUGGAGGUCGAAGCUGAGCUGGAAGUCCACAUCAGUUCGAGUGCCACUGAAGGAGCAGUGAAUAGAAAAUCUUGAACCAAACAUCACUCUUCUUGCAACAGAGGCAGAGCACAUCCACCAAGGACUUCCAAUAUCGUGUCCCAAGGGAGCUUCUGUCCUCAUGGUCCUUUGAAAAGAAUUGAGGCACCCAGGAGAUCUUGGGAGUAAAUACAUGUUUCAGUCCUUCCAUAGAAGAUGAGGGGAGCCAGGAAAUAGUAGACCAGGAAGCUGGACUCAGAGGGCAGGUGGGGGUCACAAGCAAUGGAGGGCGGGGAGUUCCUGUUGUGGCUCACCCAUAAGGAACCCAACUAGUAUCCAUAAGGAUGCGAGUUCGAUCCCUGGCUGUGCUCAAUGGGUUAAGGAUCCAGUAUUGCCGUGAACUGUGGUGUAGGUAGAAGACACUGCUUGCAUCCUGCAUUGCUGUGGCUGUGAUGUAGGCCAGCAGCUGCAGCUCCAAUUUGACCCCUAACCUGAGAACUUCUGUAUGCCAUAGA
rnacentral:lncRNA from 1 species